CGAGGAGUCAAGGCAGGGGCCGGAUCCUAUUCAGGGGACGGCAUGGAGGCGAUCUACGAGGCGGAGGAGGAGGUGAGGAGGCGGGGUUUGAACUCCGAGUUCAUGGCGGCGGCGUUCCUUGCCGGUUCCGACCGAGAUGGGGAGCUCCGGCGGAGUCUCUCCACAUGGCGGUUUUAUAAAAUCAUCCCUGUUGUUUUAGGUAAUUAACCCGCGGUACUAAUUUAAGUGGUCAGCAGUGAAAAAACAUUUUGUUUGUGAGCUUGGCUGAUGCACAGGGGAGGAGAUUUGUAAAAAGAAAUAGACCAGCACGGGCUCUCGUCCACGAUACCUACAGGCACGGUGCCGCCGCCGCCGCCCCCACGUGCGGUCGCGCGGCCAAUGUUCUUCCCCGACCCAUUGCAAUUCUGUCUCCUUCCCUUCUCCAUCUGCACCAAUCUUCUCCUGCGCCACCCUGAGCCUUCUUGGGCUCCAACCUCCUGCAAUCUUCAAGCCCGCCGGCACCCAAUCCGCCUACAAUCUUCAAGCCCGCCGGCACCAAAAGCAACCAGCGGUCGAUUCGACUGAUCCCCACUAGGAAUCCAUGGGAUUUGAGGUGGAUUUCCUAGGAGAGCGAGUAGGAAGGGUGAUGGUGGGGUUCAUGCGGAAGAUGAAGAAGCUGAAGGUGAUCCACGGCCCGCGAAGCCGAGCCACCACGGGCCUCUUCCCCUGCCGUUCCGCCGCCAUGCCGGGACGGCGUACUGGGCCUUGCCGGACGCCGAGGACAAGCGAGUCAAGGGCGGUGUGUGUGCCUAAAACUCUUUUCUCGCUGUACAAUUUCUCCAUAUCGAUUCUUCCAUACGGUGUGGGCUGCCUCGGCGUAGACGGUGACUGGCUCGAGUCCGCAGGACAAGCACAGAGUGACCAGCGGCGAUAACUAUGCUCGGGCAGAUAGAUUCCGCCGCGGCGGAGUUCGAGAUACGAACAGGAGAAUAGUAGCUGUGAUGACUCAACAAGAUGGAAGUGUGGGAGUGGGACAAGGGAUGAGUGCAAUCGGCUCAGGUAAGCUCCUCAUGUACACCGUCAGGCAUCAGUUCUAGUCGCGCCCGAAGCUUCCAAUCUCGCCGCUCCACUUAGUUUGCCGAAACAUUGUCGGCAUGUGCUCCAUCCAAGGUACGCCAUCGUCCAAUUCUAUCAUCAGUUUUGAACUUUGAACUAAUGACUAAUGGGUCGGAGUUGCCAGGGCUGAAAGUUCAAGGAAGAUUCAGCUUACAUCUGAAUUCCUUUGUAUUGCCUACAAUGUUAUAGCUUAAAUUCUGCUAAUAAAUUUCUAUCAAUGAUGUUCCAAACAAUUUCUUAGAGAUGGGUUGUGCACAAGGGUGCACAUUGUAGAUCUGUUAACUUAAGAUUUGAAUAAUGAGAUAUGUUCAUAUGCUUUGCUCACUAUUAUUCCUAAUUUACUCUGGACAUAAAGACCAAAGUUUAUUGCUUUUGUUCAGUCGAAUGCUACUUGAUCAGUACUUAACCAAGAUUGGCAGCCAUUAUAGCUGGUGUUGAACUCAGCUAUACACACUGAAUGUUACAAUAUGCCAGAAUAAACACAUUAGAAUCUUUUUAUUUAUAUUCAUACUAUUUUCUCAAGAUUGCUCUGCCGUUGCUAAUUUUGAUGUUCUGCUAUACUAGUAUUGCAUAUAGAGAGAGAUCAGAGAGGAGAGCAGCAGCCCGCUGCUGCAAUUUUGUUCAUGCUGCUACUUGGUUACUACACAUCUAUACAGAGAACACAGAGAAGGCUGCUGCUUGCUGAUUACAAUUGCUUCAUGUUAUGUGCAUAUCCUUAUGUAUGCUGCUGCUAGGUACCCAUGAUCAUGGUGACAAGGAAUCGAUACUGCAACGGUAGGGAUCUGGUGGCCAUCGAGUGGCAGCCGCUACGUACAUACGUAACUCCAACGAGUCAUGGUGAGGAGACUUUGAUCUUUAUAUGUUAGAUUCAGUGGCGAAUCUAGCAGGACAUUGAAGGGUAGGCUUAAAACAGUCUAAUUAGCAAAUGCAUUGCAAUUAUUGCAUGUAAACCACCAGAAUAUACUGCUCAAGUAGUAUGUUUAGCUUAAAUAGGAUUUUGAAGGGUAGGCUUAAGCCUAUUGAAGCCUCCUUAGUGGAAUCACCACUGGUUAGAUUCAUAGUGGAUAUACGUUACUACAUGUAGGCCCCAUACGCCAAACGAGUUCCUCCAUUAGUUUAUGUUAGCUUGUGAGCUUUCUUCAUCUCCACUGUACACAGAUUGGUCAUGCAUGAUGCAUCCAUGGCUUAGGAUAAAAAAUGAUCGUUUCCAUCCAAAUGUUAUUCAUUUAUUAUUAUUUUCCAAAUCAAUUGAGGAGAACAUAUAAAGAAAAAAUAAUUACUCGUCUGUUUUAAGAGACGAAAUAAAGCGAAAAAGAAAUUUCUCUGAAGGAUCUCUAGGGAGAUUUUGCACAUGAAGUUAAGGUUUGGUACAUUCAAUCUCCAAAAGAUAUGGUGAGAUAUCUGAAUUAUGUUUUGUCUUCACAGACUAAUAUGACACUUUACUUGGCUAUUUUACCAAUUUGUUGUUGUAGCUAAUAGUGUUGAUGUAUAUCCCAUUGUAGAGCAUUCAUUUGUAAAUAAUGAUUCUAAGACCUUUGUUUGUGUUCCUGUCGUUAUCAUUAAGCUUGCCUCAUAUAAUUGUUAGCACUGCAAUCAGAUAGAAUAUUAAAUAUUUGUUGCGAUCAGAAUCAUUUGCAAUGAUGUCUGAUUCGAUUUAUCUACCAAAGUUUACCAGCCAGAUUGCACAUGUACUCAAGUUUACUAGCCAUACCUACCAAAGUUUUCUUGGUUGACUGAUUGACCAUAUUUAUUAGCUGCCCACCUAAAUUUAUAGUGCCUUAGGACAUCAUCAACUUACAGUAAAAAUAAUGCAAUGGGCUUAUAUUAUCCUUCGAGUGAUCAUAGAUGUUCAAAAUGAUAUUUGUUACCACCAUGAGUAGUACUCUGCAAAGCAUAUACGACAUCUGUUUACUGCAGUAUUUUGCAACCAAAGCCCCUAUCUAUAUCAUUCUAGCGCUUCUCAAAAAAAUGUUGGAGAUAAAUAUCAGAAAAGGUUAAUACCCAAAAGCCCUUUUGUUAUCUCGAACUUUUCAGUCUUCAUCUUCUCUGGUGGCUUCACAUUAAAAAAGUAUUAUUUGGUGGCUUUGUAAGAUUUUCCUUUAUGCAAAUUAGAUUGCUUAAUAGCAUUCAUAUUUCAAAUUCAUUGAUAUGAAUAAGCAUGUAUAGAACACGAAAUGUAGUUGAUACACACGAGCCAUACAACGUUAGAUAUGAUUCUUACCUAAAUCCAAGGAAUGACUGUUAAGUUAUUCAUGAUCUGGAAUGUUAUCCAUGUGAAUGUUUAUUUUCCAAUCUGCUGUAAAGCUAGGAAAUUGGUUGGCAAUAGUUUUUCUGUCAAGGUUCUUCUGUUUAGAUUCUAACUGAUAUGUAAGGGGAUACCGAUGAAUCAAAUAUUUAGAUUUUUUAUUUUUUUGAGAUUUUGAACUUCAGGGGUGGGGGUGUCUUCAGUCAUGCUUAUUGGAUUAGGAUCUAGGACCGUGAGCUAUAUUUCCCUAAUAAUCCCUAAUAAUGAAGCACGGAUUGACUCCCGUCGGGUUCACCGUCGUGACAUAUUUAUGCUAAACCCCCUAUAUUUUUACUGUAAUCAACCCGCAGUCCUAUUGUUCCAGUUAACCCGAAUCGGCAUGGGCGAGAAAAAAAGCCCGACCCGGAAGCCCACGACCUUACCUCCCAAUCCCAUCUCUACCAACAGUGUGUCGCCGUCGCGCGCCGCCACCACCGGCCCUCGCCCCUCCGCCGUGCACCGCCACUGCCGGCCAACACCGCGCGUCCACCCCUACCCGACGUGCCUUCAUCCCUGCGGUUUUCCACCACCGGCGACAAUCAAAGCCGGCUCCGCACCUUCCCCAACUCAUCUUUCCCCUCCUCUGCCGCUGCCGCUCUCCAUCGGCCGACCAACGCCCUCGAGUCAGCGCCGACUCCUCCAUCCGGUUCCUGCUCGAUCUCCUCCAGGUCCAGAUCAUCCACAAUCUCAAGCGACGGGAGAGGAGCCUCUGCGUGCUUCUUGUCGGACGACAGCGCAGCCGUGCGCCCCUGACGCCGCUCUUGCACGUGAGGAGAUGCUACAUGCGGCUCGGCCGCUCCAACCCUAGGGUCGACGCCGUGGUCAUCGUCAAGAUCCCCUUCUCCUCUGUCGGUCAUCUUCUCCUCCCCGGCAGACGUCGUCGCCUUCGAGGACGAGGACGAUGGUGGUGGUUGCGCACUUCGCGUUGGUGGAUUACACCACUACCCCCAGGUUGGGAUUGGUGCGCGGGCGUCGACAUCUGCGUGCCCGAGAUCAUCGGAGCUGCAUCAGGCUAGCGCACAUCCUCCGCUACACCCCGACGCUAGAUGUAUCGACCUCAUCCCCUUGCCGCAGGAGAUAAAGGGCCGCCUGGACUGGGAUACUAGCGAGAUGGAGGGCAACUUCAGCACCAACUAGAGAGCAAAGGAGGUGGUCGUGCUCUACAUGAUGUCCGACGACCUUAACGGCCAGUUCUUCGCCGAGAAAAUGGGCUACCACGAGAUGGUCCUGCUCCGCCCCCAGGGCGCCGCUGAGGUGGUCGUUCAUUGGCGUGGGCUACCGACUUUGAUAAUAAUGAGAUUUCAUCCCCUGCGUCAGCUCAUCGGCGGAGUUCUUCUCUACAGGUAGCAGAAAAUCAUGCAGCACACACGUUCAAUUAGCCACCUACUUAUGCUUGCAUAUCUUUCUACGGAGUACUGCGCAUCCUGAUUUGCGUCUACUUGAGGAGCUGAUGCACAGAUCAUGUCGAUUUGGUCACCAUUGAGUAGUUGGAGAGCUACCUUAAGACACACGAUGUACCAAUGGUAGUCAUAUAUAUCUCAUGACAGGGCUUUCCUAGAUCAGUGUUGUAUAAAGAUAUGGCCACUGAAUUUGGCGUGUCUGCCUCUUUGUUUUCCGAAUAAUGUGAGAACUUCUAGCCUUCUAGAACAAGCAUAGUAGCUUAUUUAACUUUGUCUAAUAAAUAUCCUAUAUGGUCAAUCUAGGAUGAAAGUGUAUUUAUUACUCCCUCCGUCCCAUAAUGUAAGACGUUUUUUGAUACUACACUAGUAUCGUGUAGUAUCAAAAAACGUCUUGCAUUAUGGGACGGAGGGAAUAACUUGGAUAAUCUAGGUUGCAGACUUGCAGUGUAUCUUUGGUGUCUCUUUCACUUUUAGUAUCUAUCACAUUGAUAUUGGCAGCUCUCCAUUGUAAUCUGUCUGUACUACUUUUACCUUUUUUUGCUUCUGACCUAUUGCUCUGCUCCAGACCACAACUCUUGAAUUGGACUUUUCAAACAUUUGACAAACAUUAAGGAAUUCAUUCUUUGCAUCUCAAGAUGAUCCGGUACAGAAAUUUUCUGUCUCUGCGGUACAAUGAUCUUAAUAGAUCAGUAACCUAUAUGAGAAACAAUAUGCUUGUUAUUUUGAUUAUCAUGAUGAUCGUCACUUUGUCAGGUACCAAUGUAUCUUAUGAACGUUGUAUGUUUGUUAUUUUGUUAGUAUUUUAUAUAUUCUUGAACUUUAUUAUUCCUGACUACGAUACAUAUAAAUUCACUAGGUACAAAAAUAGUAGUCUUGAAAAUUUUGAGCACGUUGUUGCCUGGGUUGAUGAUUAGCUGAACAACUUUGUUGCCGCUGCUUUAAACUGUGCCAUUGACCUCCCUCGGGGACUGUGAUCCCACGACGCCGUGACUGGCCGCCGCCGAAUCCAUCGCCGGGGUCGUGAUCCUCGCAUCCCGUCUCCCCCUUGUCGGAGCACCUUCGACGGGGCCGUGAUCCCCGCCACCAGCCUCCCCCUUGCUAGAGCUCCUUUGACGGAUCUGUGAUCCCCGCCACCGGUCGCUGCCUCCCCGGAGCUCCACAAGAAUCUGGAGCACCGCCGUCUCCCCAAGCUCCUUGCCUGCAUCAAUGAAUCCGCUCUCCAAGAUUACGCCAGUACGCCGCCGACGAGAGGAAGAUGUUAGAUGCAAGAACAUGCCACUUCAGGUGAUGUGUGCUUCCCACACGAAUUUUCCUCAAAAUUCAAUCUGCCUGAUUGCUUCCGAAGCACAAACGAUCAGUUCAAAAAAUGUAUUCAGAUCUGGGUUUGCCUGAAGAAAAAUACCACGUUUGUGUCAGUUCAUCAGUCUUACUACGCUAAAAUUUGAUUUAAAAAUUGCACACACUAUGCUCUUUAUAUAUGUUACACUAUUAAGUUCAUUAGUACAGCGUGUACUACAUCAGUAGCACAUGUCCUAUGAUACAGAAGCUGAUUGUACAUUGCAAAAUGCUUGCAUCAGUUCAUUACAUCCCUGCCACUUGACACACAAUUU